rnacentral:lncRNA from 1 species
GGUGAUUGAUGACUUUCUGUUAUCCAUUUCUUAUGCUUUUUAUUUUUAUCUAUUAUUGUGAUCAUUCUCGUUCUCGGUUGUCCUCUACUUUAAAAUUUCACAGCUAUGUUUGAUACAAAUAUUUAUCUACUUAAGUUAUGAUUUAAAGUAACAAUUAAAGAAUUAUGAGGGUUAAUCGCAUCCAACAUCUAAAUUUUCAAAUAAGUGGCAUUUUAAAAUUAUUUUUAGUAUGGGGGGGGGGGGGGGGGGGGGUUUUUUUUAACACUUUUUUUUGACCUACAACUAAUCUAAGGGUUGAGAUUAAUUCUAGAUCCAUGUGCAAACAUUUAUGUGAGUAAGUAGGUAAAGGUAAAACGGUAGAGGAAAAUGACAAACUGGAACCUCAAUUAAAAUGAAAAAGAUGAAAUAUCAAAUCAAAUCUCUUGAAUGAAUGAGAGGCCGAGAGACAGAGGACAUGACUAAGUGGGAAAUACAUGAAUAAUAAUUUAACAUGAAUGUCUCAUAAACAAUAAACAAUUACAUAGAUUUAUAAAUUAUACAUAAAAUAGACGAGUAAACGUUGGAAGAGGUAAUAUAUAAGAGAAGUUGGUUUAUUACCUAUAAUAAGAUUAAGAUGAAUAAUCUUGAUCUUUCCACUCCAUUCAUUUUCUAGAACAACACAUUUUGAAAGAAAAGAUAGAGAUACUAUAUUUUAACAAAUAGCAAACAAUGAUUUAUGCAAGGGAGGAAAAUGUCUUUUAAAAAUUAGAGGGGUCUGGAUGGUCCAAUACGAAGAUUGGAAGAGGGCUGAGUGAAAUUUUCCCACCUAAUAAUGGUAGCAUUUUUAAUUAACAAACUAAUGAUAAUAGAAGAACAAGUACAAAAGAAUACAUACCUAUAUUAGGAUCAGAUUGCUUGGCUGGAAGAGGAUUAGAUUGCUCGUUUGAGUCUUUGUUGCACAUAAACUGAUUAAUUGUUGUGUUUUGUCAGCAUUUUCCUCUUGACAUUAGGCAAUCGUGGAAUAUGUCUUUGUCCAGCUUAUGUAUAGCCUCAUGCAGUUUCCAUAAAACAUAAUCCAUGGCCUUUUUGUUUUGAACUGAUUGGUUAAAGGUAUCUUCGAAGAGUGGAAGGGUGAUGCUGUUUUUGCAUCCUAAAUUAUUGAAGUGCGCCACAUUUGUUGUUGACACUAAGCGUCCAUGGUGCUGAACACCAUCUCGGGCACAAAUAAAAGGUAUAUAUGAGAUUUUAUUUGGGGGUGAAUAGUCAGGAAGGGGACUGCAAUCAAAUAACAAUGUAUAUUGUGCAUCCUUUUGGGUGUAGCUAAAAAGGUAGAGUCCAAUGUGACAUUGGUAAAAGUCUUGGGGAAAAUGCUAUUGUGCAAUUUUAAUAUAUAUAUGACAACAAUUGUAAGAAUUCAGGAAUCCUGAUAGUCACCAUACCAAAUUCACAGUUAAGCUUCGGAGAUGGGUGGCCACAGUAAUCGGGUUGACUAAUGUGCCAGUAUGGAAAAGUUACAUUGUAGUUAAAAUAAUUGUGGCAAGAAAAAGGUUCACAUUCUGUGUCUGUUUAAAUAUAAUUGGCCAUAUUUGUGGGAAAGAGAAAGGAAUCAACGAAAAGUAAAGCGUCAUGCGGCAAAAAUAGCAGGGAUGCAGAGAAGGAAGGAAGGAGGCCAUGAUCAAUGGAGGUUUGGUGUAAAGAGAAAAUGAACCCUUUUAGGAGAAUUUUCUUUGGCUCCUAUUUUUCUUAGAAACUGGCUUAUUAUUUUUGCUGCUUGUCCUGCCUCGAGAAUGGUUGUCUCAUUGAUAUAAAAGGUGGUACCCCAGCUUCUC